rnacentral:rRNA from 1 species
AAAAAUAAAAUUAAUAGCGUAAAAAUAAUAAAAAUAAUUUUAAUAUAAAUAUGGAUAAUGGGGGUUUAAGUAUUUAUAAAGAAAAAAUUUAAAAUUUUAUAGUUAAUUAGUAUUGUAAAAUAAAUUUGAAAUAUAUGAAAAUAAAUUUAAUGAAAAGUAAAUUUAAAUUAUUGUAUCUUGUGUAUCAGAGUUUAUUAAUAAAAGAUUAUUGUUAAAAGAUUUCGAAUUUAAAAGAGAUAAUUAAUUAAAAAAGUUAAUGUAGAAUAAUUAUUUUAAAUAAUUAAUUUGAAAUGAAAUGUUAAUCGUUUUUAAAUAUAUCUAAUUUUUUUAGAAAAAAAUUUAAUUUUAAAUUUUUUUUAUAUAUUUAAAUUUAAUAAAAAUAAUUUAAAUAAAAAAAAAUUAAAUAUUUUAAGGGAUAAGCUUUAAAUUAAAUUUUUAUAAUAAAAUAAAAAAAAAAUAUUAAAAUUUUUAAAAUUUAUAUUGUUUAAAAAUUAAAAUUUAUUAUAAAAUAUUUUAAAAUAAAUAAAAUUUAAAUAAAUUUAAUUUUUUAUAAAAAAAUAAUAUAAAAUAAAAAAAUAUAAGAAAUAAUGGUAAAAUUAGUAUAAUAAAUAAAUAAAUUAUAAUAAAUUUAUAAUGAAAUAAUUUAAAAGAAUUCGGCAAAAUUUAAUAUUCACUUGUUUAUCAAAAACAUGUCUUUUUGAUAAUAAUUUAAAGUCUAAUCUGCCCACUGAUUAAAAAUUAAAGGGCUGCAGUAUUUUGACUGUACAAAGGUAGCAUAAUCAAUAGUCUUUUAAUUGAAGACUUGUAUGAAAGAUUGGAUGAAAUAUAAACUGUUUCUAAAUUAAAUUUAAAAUUUAAUUUUUUAGUUAAAAAGCUAAAAUAAAUUUAAAAGACGAGAAGACCCUAUAGAGUUUUAUAUUUAAAUAAUUAUUUAUAUUAUAUAUAAAUUAAAUUAAAUAAUAAUUUAAUUAUUUUAUUGGGGUGAUAAAAAAAUUUAUAAAACUUUUUGUAUUUUAAAUCAAAAAUAAAUGAAUUAAUGAUCCAUAAAUUAUGAUUAAAAGAUUAAAUUACCUUAGGGAUAACAGCGUAAUUUUUUUUUUUAGUACAAAUAAAAAAAAAAGUUUGCGACCUCGAUGUUGGAUUAAGAUAAAAGUUAAACGCAAAAGUUUAAAUUUUUGAUCUGUUCGAUCAUUAAAAUCUUACAUGAUCUGAGUUCAAACCGGUGUAAGCCAGGUUGGUUUCUAUCUUUAAAAAAAUAAUAUAUUUUAGUACGAAAGGAUUAAAUAUUUAAAAUAAUUUUAAUUGAAGAAUAAUAUUAAUUAAAAAUUUAAUUA